rnacentral:rRNA from 1 species
AUACGUAGGGGGCGAGCGUUGUCCGGAAUGAUUGGGCGUAAAGGGCGCGUAGGCGGCGCGGUAAGUCUGGAGUGAAAGUCCUGCUUUCAAGGUGGGAAUUGCUUUGGAUACUGCCGCGCUUGAGUGCAGGAGAGGUUAUCGGAAUUCCCGGUGUAGCGGUGAAAUGCGUAGAGAUUGGGAGGAACACCAGUGGCGAAGGCGACUUACUGGACUGUAACUGACGCUGAGGCGCGAAAGUGUGGGGAGCAAACAGGAUUAGAUACCCUGGUAGUCCACACUGUAAACGAUGAAUGCUAGGUGUAGGAGGUAUCGACCCCUUCUGUGCCGCAGUCAACACAAUAAGCAUUCCGCCUGGGGAGUACGGCCGCAAGGUUGAAACUCAAAGGAAUUGGCGG